UUUAGCAGGCCAAUGAUUGUCUCAAAGAAUUCCACAUGCGUUGCCUCCGCAAUAUCAUGAAGAUCCGCUGGCAAGACAAAGUGCCCAAUCUUGAGGUCCUCGAGAGAGCCCAGAUGACAAGCAU